GUUACAUCUUCCAGUGAAAGCCGGGGGCUACUGCGUGGAGCGUCCAUUAGCUCUCCUGAGCUAAAGACCCAUGUAGGGUUAUCUGAUCACAGUCAGCCAAUGAGCUACGUUAUGCACUGCCAGGCUUAGCUCUCAUGGAGGAGGUGACGAGCUCUGUGCGAAAAAGUGUGAAAAACUGAGCAAAAGUUUGACUGCUUGCAUUGGGGAGGUGGAUCCAGG